CUGGCCUCGUUAGGGGCCUAUGGAGGCACUCUGGGGCCCCUCAACAGGAGCCUGGGGCUGGGGGGGAGCUUCCUAAGUUCAGUUCCAGAUCCCCAGAGCAAUCGAGUGGAAGCCUAUCUGGCCAAGCUCCUAGCUCAAAAGUCUGUCUCUCACCUCUCCUCACUUCAGCCAGAUUCAUGACCAGAUGCAGAAUGAAUUGGAGAAAAAACAUAUCA